CUCCGACUCCGAUGAGGAAGACGUGGGUUCCGAUGACGGGGUCCGGGUGGAGGGAGGGGGGUCUACUCGCGUCGGAUCUUGCUGAUGGAGCGGAUGCGCCGGGCUGCCAGUCUCUGAUGAAGUGGGACACCUCCGACCGGCGAGGUGUCAAGAGGGACUGGGCAACUGCGACGCGAGUGCGUGAUCACCCAUUUAGCCGAAAAGGAGACGAAGAAGAGGACAACUCACUCCGCGUGACUCCGCCACGGAGGAUUCAUAAACACACACCAGUAGACCCGCGCAGCGCACAGCGGCGGAUAUUCACCAGGUUGCGCCACGUCUCGGUUUUUUUUCCUUCCACGCAGGAACUCCGGAGCUACAAUGUGAAACUGAUUCAGUAUGUGUGUGUGUGUGUGUGUGUGUGUGUGUGUUUUGCCUCUAGGACCUCCCCUAUUCAUUUACAAAAGUCAGUAAAUACAGCUGUCCUUCAACAAAGCUACAAGACAGGUCUACCGUGACACACGCCACCACGGGGCGUUAUUGUUUUUGUUGUUUUCAAACGGAAAUAACCUCCACCAAAGGACACCUCUUUACGUACCUUUUUACGCACCUUUUUACGCAGUGGAAAGUGACUCCAUGAAGCGCUUUAUUAUGCCGCAAAGAGGUUUCAUGUACCGGGAAACCUUUUAAAGAACGUCUCGGUCUUACACUGUAAUAAUACAGCACGAGUCAUGCAUCAAUAAUAGCUUAAUAAAUAGGAUAAUGUUGGUGUAAGUGAGUAAUACUCAAUAAAAAAGUCAAUGAAUGAUGA